CAGCACCUCAAGUGGUCAGGAUGAUUAUUGGGCCUAAAGCAUCCGUAGCCGGCGCUGUAAGUUUUCGGUUAAAUCUGUACGCUCAACGUACAGGCUGCCGGGAAUACUGCAGCGCUAGGGAGUGGGAGAGGUAGACGGUACUCGGUAGGAAGGGGUCAAAUCCUUUGAUCUAUUGAUGACCACCUGUGGCGAAGGCGGUCUACCAGAACACGUCCGACGGUGAGGGAUGAAAGCUGGGGGAGCAAACCGGAUUAGAUACCCGAGUAGUCC
rnacentral:rRNA from 1 species